GACGAACGCUGGCGGCGUGCUUAACACAUGCAAGUCGAACGGAAAGGCUCCAGCUUGCUGGAGUACUCGAGUGGCGAACGGGUGAGUAACACGUGGGUAAUCUGCCCUGCACUCUGGGAUAAGCCUGGGAAACUGGGUCUAAUACUGGAUAUGACCUUUCUCCUUAUGGGGUUUGGUGGAAAGUUUUUCGGUGUAGGAUGAGCCCGCGGCCUAUCAGCUUGUUGGUGGGGUGAUGGCCUACCAAGGCGACGACGGGUAGCCGGCCUGAGAGGGUGAUCGGCCACAUUGGGACUGAGAUACGGCCCAGACUCCUACGGGAGGCAGCAGUGGGGAAUAUUGCACAAUGGGCGGAAGCCUGAUGCAGCGACGCCGCGUGAGGGAUGACGGCCUUCGGGUUGUAAACCGCUUUCAGCAGGGACGAAGCGUAAGUGACGGUACCUGCAGAAGAAGCACCGGCUAACUAUGUG
rnacentral:rRNA from 1 species